ensembl:lncRNA
GGGGGUUUCUGCUCUGGCCAAGCAAAGCUGCAGCAGGCUGCCCUGCUGGGAGGGUGGAGGCAAUGGCUCAGGCUUUUUUCAGACCUUGCUGUGAGAAAUCUGUGUUUUGGCUGUGCUGCUGUGAACUUGGAGGAAAGCUGCUUGCACCAGGCCAGGCCAGCAUUGCUAUGGCAAGCCCUUUGCUGCAACCCUGCCCGUGGGUUUGCUCUGGCAAGGGGUGCCCUGGCCAACACUCACAGGAUGGGCUAGCCACCGGCACAGCUGGCUGGAGACACGUUUGUGGGAGAUGCCCCAGAGCCGAAGGGUCCCUGAGAGGGCUUGGAAACCUACCCCCGAGGCCAGCAACCAUCCUGUUGUCUUCCCAGAAGCACCACUCAGACAGCGAUGCAUGGCACGCGCAAUGCUGCGCUUGCAGAAUUACCACAGGGCUGAGCUGGCGAGUCCAUAGGGUGCUUGCAAGCUGGCAAUUUGGCUCCAGAGCUGUUGUCUCAAACUACCACUCAAGAGGAUCUGAAUGGAUUCAUGGCAGAGAUGCAAACACUCCACCUCCUUACUGAUAAUACCUUAUGCAUGGACCUUUGGGGGGGAUGUUUCUAUCUUGUUUUUUUAUACAAAGCCAGUUUUGUGUUUCUGCUGGUGGGCAUGGGUGCUAUUCUGGUCUCAUUUACACUGCUGUCAACUGGAAGUAACCCCUCUGAAGCCAGCAUAUAAAAUGAAGCUCUUUGCCACGUUUACAUAUUCUGCUCCUUACAGCGUAGUUUGUCCUAGUUCUUAAGCACUGAAUGCCUACGUAGGAAUUUCAUUACGGAGCACAAGUUUUGUCGAGUGCAUUCUGCUAGUUUUGCUGGAGGUGGCUGAAUGUAGUCUUUUUUUUUUUUUUUCCUGAAUCCCUUGUACUGAUAAGUAUAUUUGCCUGUAUCACUGGAAAAAAAAAUGCAGCACAUGAGAAAAUACAGCUUGGUGUCAUGUUCCUGGAAAAAAGACAGGUUGUUUUUCUAGGGGAAGGGCUUUCUGUACUUGGAAAACUGUCUCCAGCACCACUUUAGGAUGCAAAUAUGGACAAUCUGAGGGUAAUUUGGAGGAUCUCAGACUUCUUGCCCAGUGGUGCAGCAGUCAAUGCUGGUAAUUGAUUUCAACCCAUCUGCGAGAUGAACACCUGCUGUGCAAUAUGGCCCUGCUAGGAUUACACCUCCCUGCUUUUAGCUGGGCAAAAUCUUUAAUGUUGACCACGAGGCUGGGAACGUAUUUGCUAAAAUCUGAACCACGUCCCAGAGCCAUGUUAACCGUGCACUUGCAGUGUUUUAAAUGCAUUGCCUUGACACUUCUCAUUAAAAUCCACAGGAUGCAGUUUCUUUCUAAGCAAAAUUAAUUCUAUUACUAAAUAAUGUUUUUGGCCUCCAACCUGACUUGUGCUAAUUACUCACGUGGUAAGUGAGUUUUAAAUCUUGUUUGGAAAGACGAUAGAAUUUGUCUUAUUAAAAGCACCUAAUGUGAGCUUUUCCUUUUUUUUUCUUUUUUUUUUUUUAAGACUGCAAUUGGUCUCCAGUGAAACCAAAC